UUAAUAAGGAUAAAGGGAGACUUUGGAGAAAUCCAAUAAUACAGCACAUGUGAUAACGGCCCACUGGAAGGGCUCUGGGGAGGGAGUGCAAUUUCACAACGGAGGCUGCUGCACGUCCCUUUGUGCACACCUUGCUUUGCCUGCUGGGAAUGCAUUUCUGAGCUGGGUAAACACAACCAAAGCAACCACAGCAACAAGACCCUGCUCAUUAGUGCCUGUCAGUCUGCUCCUCUUUAUUUCCUGAAGAAUACUGUCCUUUCAGGUGAUGCCUGCAACAUUCCCAGAUCUUCCCAUUGGCGCCAACCAGUGAAAAAUGCCCUUACACCAAAACAAAUUCAGGCUGAGAUUUUUCAGAGAGAUGAAUGAAUGUUCAUCAGACAAACUCUCAUUCAUCUGAUCCCAAGGAAGUUCUUAAUGAGAAAGGAGAAAAAAAUAAGAGUUCCAACACAGGUUUCUACAGGGGGGAGCCACAUGGGGAGAAAAGCAUGGGGGAAGGAGGGGAGAACCCAGGGAGCCCCCGGCUGCUGCUGCCCAGCUGUUCCAUGCUUGGGACUGGGGCUGCAGGACGCUCCCCAUAGCGCAGUGCUGCUGUUUUCUGCCUGCAGCUACGAGGGAGCAGAGCUCGGCAGGAAACUGGCAAUCAGAAGGUCUACAAGUGGAAGUGGUGAUGCCGUGCCACUCCAAGCUGUGCUGCACAGCCCCAGGCACUGGUCUUCCUAAAGGAAAUGCAAUGAGUUUCCAGGACCAAACUCCAACUGCUCCUACAAAGAUGCAUUUUCACACUGAGGUCUGAUUAUCUUCAGCACGUGCCACAGCAAACACCUCACCCAGUCCCUCAGUGUGACAGAGGCAUCGAUUGGUUUUCCAAUUCCUGCUUUGCCUGGGGCAGGAGGCAGCACGUGUGUUAGAGCAGUGUGAGCGAGCGUUUCACACAAUGCCACCCCAAACAGAACUUUGAUAUGCUAAGCAAAUAUUGGACUUUAUUGGUUUAAUUUAAUUAAAAUUUAUUAACCUUUUACUAAACACAAACCCUCAUUAAAAUUCUUAUUCCUGUCUCCUACAUCAGCAUAGUCAUAUUCUCAUUUCCAACCUUAUUAAAUAUCACCCAAAGAGAGCCUAUUUCUGCAGCACUGAUUGUUGAUAAACUGCAAUAUUAACCCAGGCAUGUCCCAGAGACUUUGGAAGAAAUGAAAACCAAACAUGACCAGACACAGUUGUUUGAAAGGAUGGUGCCCCCCAAGCCACCAGCCCACUCCCCUCUCAAUGGUCCCGUUUUCCAACUUUCCAACACAACAAUGGGGCAGGAAGCACAGAAGUACAUAGGAAACAUCUUGGGCUGGUUCCAAUCUGUUGUCUCCUCCUCACAAGCUGCUGGGGAUGCAUUUCAGACGCCUUCAUCCAAACUCAGCAGAACGAUCCCCUGGAAAAGAUGGGUUUGGUGACCCCACCUGGGGGUGUGUAUAUCACUUGUGGCUUCAUCCCACUUCUGUUAAUAAGUUUAAAAGUUGCUGCUUGCAUGUGCCAAGUUUACAAAAUCAUUACCUGCUCUAUAUUAAGUGUUUAAUUGCAUAAAAUGACAUCAUGUUUAUCUCUGCAACAUUAGCAUCUAGUCAGCAGUGUCAAAGCAGUAAACAUGCUUGAUAUCAUCAGUCAUUGUGUGGACUUAAAAUCAAUUGCUCUUGCUGCACCCUCUUGUACAGAGAGGAGCACAAUACAUUAA
ensembl:lncRNA